UCGAAAUCGGUAGACGCUACGGACUUAAAAGAAAAUCCGUUGGCUUUUUAGACCGUGAGGGUUCAAGUCCCUCUACCCCCA
rnacentral:tRNA from 1 species